CCUACGGGUGGCUGCAGUCGAGGAUCUUCGGCAAUGCGCGCAAGCGCGACCGAGCGACGCCGCGUGGGCGAUGAAGGCCUUCGGGUUGUAAAGCCCUGUCGAGGGGGAGAAAAGCCGCAAGGUGUGAUCUAUCCCUGGAGGAAGCUCGGGCUAAGUUCGUGCCAGCAGCCGCGGUAAGACGAACCGAGCGAACGUUGUUCGGAAUCACUGGGCUUAAAGGGCGCGUAGGCGGGCUGCCAAGUUUGGGGUGAAAUCCUCCGGCUCAACCGGGGAAGUGCCUUGAAUACUGGCGGUCUGGAGGGGGGUAGGGGCGUGCGGAACUAACGGUGGAGCGGUGAAAUGCGUUGAUAUCGUUAGGAACUCCGGUGGCGAAGGCGGCACGCUGGACCCUCACUGACGCUGAGGCGCGAAAGCCAGGGGAGCGAACGGGAUUAGAUACCCUAGUAGUC
rnacentral:rRNA from 1 species